CGCUGCAGCAACUUGCCAAAUGAACCAUUAAAAGCAAGCCAGACUCACUGAACCACAGUAAAAUCAAUUAAUGGCUGCUUGGGGCAACAUAUGGUCUUUGAAGGUCUUUAUCUUUUUAACCAUAUUUCUCUUCCAGUGUUUGUGGCAGAGCCCUCCACCUCUCUUUCAUUUGAAUGUAAAGAGCCAUUUCAAAAACUAUAACUUCCUUUUAGUGACAAACUCAUUUAGUGGUGUGUCACUGUUCAGCUGGACCUCUACUGACAUGCAGAAAUUUGAAUUAAAGGGAGAAAACAGCUUUUACUAUUAAGGAAAAUGGAGUGUUCUUUCUGCUUUGAGAACUUCACUUAAGCCUUUUUGGCUGCUGCUCUGCCCUAUUCCCUGAGCACCCCUUUUGUGGUUGUUGUUUUUGAGGCUGAAGUUUCAGAGAUGCUAAACCAUUUUUUCUUCAUAUGACAAAAAAAAGGGAGGUGAAAACCCAAUUCCCGUAAACGGAGUUUCCACAGUUAGAGCCCACUGUGCAAACCCCAAGCAGCAGCUUGCCGGUGCCUUAGAGCAUGUGCCAACACUGCCGUCUACCUUCCACAAAGGCUUUGUGCACUUCUGCUUCUUGGUUGCUUGCGUUCAUGUGUUAACACAGCUUUGCCAAGCCUCUGUCGGCAAGUCAAGGUCCUGUAGUACUGACUUCUGGAUGGUGGCUCCACCACUUCCCUGGGCAGCUUGUUCCAAUGCCUGAGCACCCCUUCAGUGAAGAAAUCCAUCCUGAUGUCCAACAUGGCCUCCCAUAGCACAACUUGAGGUUAUGUCCUCUCCUCCUGUCAGCAGAAGCCUGGAAAACAAGCUGAUCCCCACUUUCAGGCAGCUGUAGAGAGUAAUAAGGUCAGCCCUGAGCCUCCUUUUCUGCAGGCUAAAAAUCCCCACUCCCUGAGCCUGUCCUAUAGAGCUUUACUUCUCUGGAUACAUUCCAGCAUCUCAGUGUAUUUCUUGUAGUGAGGGACCCAAAACUGAAUACAACACUCAUGGCACAGCCGUACAGGAGGACACAACCGUACAGGAGGACAAUCACUGUCCUGGGUCCUGCUGGCCACACUACUGCUGGUACGGGCCGGGAUGUCACUGGCUUUCUUGGCCACCAUGGACACACUGCUGGCUCAUGUUCAGCUGCUGCUGACCAGCAGUCCCAGGUCCUUUACCUCUGGGCUGAUUUCCAGCCCCUUGCUCCCCAGCCUGCAGUUCUGCACAGGGUUGUUGUGACCCAAGUGUGGGACCUGGCAUAUGGCCUUUUUUAACCUCAUACAAUUGUCUUUGGCCGAUAAAUCCGGGCUGUCCAGAUCUCUCUGCAGAGCCUUCCUGUCCUCAAGCAGAUCAUCUUGGUGUCAUUUGCAAAGUGACUGAGGAUACAUUUGAUCCCCUCACCCAGAUCAUCAAUGAAGAUGUUAAACAGGACCGGCCCCAGCACAGACCCCUGAGGGACAGCACUGGUGAGCAGUUACAGCUGGAUGCAGCACCUUUCACCACCACUCUCUGGGCCUGGCCAUCCAACCAGUUCUUAACCCAGUGAAGAUGCACUUGUCCAAGCCGUGGGCUGCCAGCUUUUCCAGGAGUGUGCUGUGGGAGACAGUGUCAAAGGCCUGUUGAAGUCCAAACAGAUAACAUCCACAGCCUUUCUCUCAUACUCUAGGUGGGUCACCAUGUCAUAGAAGGAAAUUGACCUGAUCAAGUAAGACUUGCCUUUCCUAAACCCAUGCUGGCUGGGCCUGAUCCCCUGCUUGUCCUGUACAUGCCACAGGAGCACACUCAAGAAAAUCUGUUCCAUAACUUUUACUGGCAUCAGGUUUAGCUGUCAUUACAUAUUCUUAUCAACCUUAUAAUUAACAUGUAUCCAUGGGUACUGCUUCAUGUUAAUGAGAUAAGGUUGUAUUUGAAGGACAAUCUUUUGUCUCCAUUAACCCAGCUGUUAGUGUGGCUGCAUACCUGGGUCAAUCAACUAACCAUAUCAUUAAACAAAAGUCCUCUUAGCUAUGCUAAUCAAAAGCAUGCUUAUCACAAUUUUUCCAAACAACCUCACUGAAACCUAAGCAAACAAACCACUUCAAGACUCAUAAACCAGUUUUACUCUGAUAUAUAAACUAUGCUUUAUGAAUGAGGAUUAAAAAGAAAAAAAAAGAUCUGAGGGAAAUUUCAUUAGCAUUAUGCAUAUAUUCCUUUAGCCAUCUCUGGUGAUGUCAUCAGCAUGGUUAAUGCUGCCUAAACAUUGUUAUUUGCUGCAUCAUUUUGAAUGUGACAGGAAACACAGGCUUUCUGCUCUGAACUGCAUCUUCUUGGAUGAGAAGAUGGUGGAUACUGAACACUGAGACAAAGCCCUUCUUAUUAAAUCCCAGAAGCAGGUUGAGGGGGUUUCUAUGUGCUUCUUGACCUCUAUGAGCAAGCAUAUGAGCAGAAGCUGAACAGAGAGUUUUAAAAAGAAGGAGAGGUAGAAUAUAUAACAUUGUCAGUGAACAGCUUCCUAGACAGCUUUUUCAGAGACGUAGAUCAGUGUAUUAAAAAAUGAGAUAACUAGCUUUAAAACUUCAUAGGUGUGGUUUAAACCCAGCAGCUAACUAAGUACUAUGCAGCUGCUUGCUCACUCCCUCUCCAGCAGGAUCAGGGAGAAAAUCUGAAAAGUAGAAGUGAAGAACCUUAUGGGCUGAUAUAAUAACAGCUUACUAGGUAAAGCAAAAGACACACAUACAAGUAAAAUAAAAUAAUUCCUUCACCACCUCCCAGAGGCAGGCAGGUGUUCAGCCAUCUUCAAGAAAGCAGGGUUCCACCAUGCAUAGCAGUGACUUCAAAAGACAAAUACCCUCCCCCUUGAUUCCUGCUUCUUCACCCAGCUUUAUAUAUUGAGCAUGAUACCACAGGGUGUGGAAUACCCCUUGAGUCCACUGAGGCCAGCUGUACUGACAGUGUCCUGUCUUCUCCCAACUCCUUCUGUACCCCCAGUCUCCUCCCUGGUGGUGAGGGUGAGGAGCAGCAAAGGCCUUGGCUCUGUAGAAACCCUGCUCAGCAGAAACAGAAAGUGCUUUAUAUUAUCAUCACUGUUGUAAGUGCAAAUCCAAAACACAGCCCCAUACUGACCACUGUAAAGAAAACUACUCCAGCCAAACCUACUAUAUUCUCUACUCCUUACUUCAUGCAAUUUAUGUAAUGCUGUAGUCCUACAUGAUUUAAUAGAAUCCCAUUGACACCCCCCAUUCCCUCUCCAUCCUUUGAUAUAAUACACAGAUAUCAUUCCCUUAGUCUAUGGACAGCCCCUGCAAAAGCCCACUUAAUGUUAACAUAUGUCCAUAGAAUGCCAGCUGAAUUAAUUUCAGGGCCCAUGAGCUGGGGCUCUGUCUGUUCUGCUGGUCACUCAGGUUAGGAGAGGAGAGGUGAGCUGGUGUGGUACUGUGGUCAGCUCAGGUGAAGUCACUGCUGCAUUUGCACUGUUUAUUGUAGGACUUGUCCUCCAUUGGUUCAUGUAGCUCCUAUUACAGUAAUUCCUGUAAGCAAAACUCAAAUAAUGCAUUACAACAAUUUAAAGGCAGAUCCAUUACUAUUUCCAGCCCUAGGCAUUUUGUGCCAGAUUGAAGGGUUUAAGAGUGUAAUGAACUCCUCACCUUGCUUCUAGUCUGCCUAGAAACAGGGUUCCUGCUAUAGCAAUUACAGGGCCCCACACAGACCUCCAUGGGAUGCAGAGGGGAAGCCUGCCUGACCAUAGCUUCACCAUGGGCUACAGGAGAAUCUCUGCUUCAUCACCUGGCCCACCUCCUGGACUCUCCUUCUUCUUCAGGAAAAGGACUUCUCACACUCUUCCCCUGUACCGUGGACUCAUCCACAGGUCACAGUCCCUUUGGCUCAAGUUCACACUGGAAUUCCAACCUGUCCAGUACAGCAGCAGAGCUGCAAUGCCCUGGCCAGCUGCCAGCCCAGGCGCAACGUGGCUGUUAUCAAAAUGCUCCCAGGCACAGCACAGUGAGAUAAGAAGCAUAGCACUACAGCAAACAGCCACCAACAAGCACUGGAUUGCAACACAGCAUCAGGCAAGUGACCCCUGUGGGCAAGCACUGGAGCCUGCUGAUUAAUAAUUUAACAGCCAUAGCAGCUGUAAGUUUCAUCUAGCACAUUCCAAUCUAGUCUAUCAUAAUCAGAGUUUUUUAAGCCCCACAUUAGGACCAAAGAAGGACUGUUGUGGUUUAACCCCAGCCAGCAACUAAACACCCCAUAACUACUUGCUCACAGCACUGUGGUGGGAUGGGGAAGAGAACUGGAAGGGUAAAAGUG